rnacentral:rRNA from 1 species
CGCCCUACGGGACGCAGCAGUGAGGAAUAUUGGUCAAUGGGCGAGAGCCUGAACCAGCCAAGUCGCGUGAAGGAUGAAGGAUCUAUGGUUUGUAAACUUCUUUUAUAUGGGAAUAAAGUGAGGAACGUGUUCCUUUUUGUAUGUACCAUAUGAAUAAGCAUCGGCUAACUCCGUGCCAGCAGCCGCGGUAAUACGGAGGAUGCGAGCGUUAUCCGGAUUUAUUGGGUUUAAAGGGUGCGUAGGCGGUCGGAUAAGUUAGAGGUGAAAUCCCGAGGCUCAACUUCGGAAUUGCCUCUGAUACUGUU